UACUAGAGUAGCACUCGCAUAUCAAUAAGCGGAGGAAAAGAAACUAACAAGGAUUCCCCUAGUAACGGCGAGUGAAGCGGGAAGAGCUCAAAUUUGAAAUCUUAAAGGGUUUCCCUUUACGAAUUGUAGUUUAAAGAAGUGUUUUCUGUUGAGGUUUUGGUAAAAGUUCUUUGGAAUAGGACAUCAUAGAGGGUGAGAAUCCCGUAUUUGACCUUUACUUUCAACUUUGUGAUACACUUUCAAAGAGUCGGAUUGUUUGGGAAUGCAGUCCAAAAUGGGUGGUAAAUUUCAUCUAAAGCUAAAUAUUGGCGAGAGACCGAUAGCGAACUAGUACCGUGAGGGAAAGAUGAAAAGAACUUUGAAAAGAGAGUUAAACAGUACGUGAAAUUGUCAAAAGGGAAGCGUUUGACACCAGUGUUGUUUUUCUGAAAAUCAAUUAAAGAACUGUUUAUGCUAAGCUGUUUAGACUUUAUCAGCUAACUGUUUAGUUUUGAGCUUUUCUUUAAUGCACUUUUCAGUUAACAAGUCAACAUCAAUUUCUUUUGCUGUAAAAAAGCUUGAGGAAGGUGGCUUGAGAUUCGUCUUUAAGUGUUUAUAGCCUCUUGCCUAUGCAGUCGGAGAGAUUGAGGUCUGCAGCGUAGAUCCUUCGGGGCUAAAUGCAUUUGUGCUAAGUUAUAGCAUUUUAUAGACAACUUGUUGACUAUGAUUUGUCUUGUAGCUUACUCGCUUAUGUUAUUUUACCUACGCUUAGGAUGUUGAGCGCAUGUCUCUCUCU
rnacentral:rRNA from 1 species